rnacentral:rRNA from 1 species
UGGGGAAUAUUGCACAAUGGGCGCAAGCCUGAUGCAGCCAUGCCGCGUGUGUGAAGAAGGCCUUCGGGUUGUAAAGCACUUUCAGCGGGGAGGAAGGCGUUAAGGUUAAUAACCUUGGCGAUUGACGUUACCCGCAGAAGAAGCACCGGCUAACUCCGUGCCAGCAGCCGCGGUAAUACGGAGGGUGCAAGCGUUAAUCGGAAUUACUGGGCGUAAAGCGCACGCAGGCGGUCUGUCAAGUCGGAUGUGAAAUCCCCGGGCUCAACCUGGGAACUGCAUUCGAAACUGGCAGGCUAGAGUCUUGUAGAGGGGGGUAGAAUUCCAGGUGUAGCGGUGAAAUACGUAGAGAUCUGGAGGAAUACCGGUGGCGAAGGCGGCCCCCUGGACAAAGACUGACGCUCAGGUGCGAAAGCGUGGGGAGCAAACAGG